rnacentral:lncRNA from 1 species
AACAAGCAGCAGCUGCUGGGGAGCAGGAGAUUAUUUAGGUGGGCUUCCAGGGGCAUCCUGUAACUGUAGGGUUGAGCUUGUGGGGGCUCUGCUUGGGGUUGUUUGCUGCCUUUGGAUGGGGCUCCUGUCCUGGCUCUCUCUGUCAGAUCUCACUUAGCUACCAGUCCACCCUUGGAUUAUGGGAACUGGUGAGGCCAAGCAUUGGGAAGACACCUUGUCCCUCCUCAGCUUUGCUUCACCACGUGGUGCCAGAUAGGAAGCCUGUUUAGCGAUGUCACUUGUUCCUGCCUUCCCUGGGUGAGGGUGCUCUGUGUGCAAAUGGACAAACACUUCCAUUUGCAAAGGUUCACCAUGUGUUGUAAGCAGAGAAGAGCCAAAGCUUUGGACACUGUCUAUGAAUCUGUGUUGCCACAGAAGUCACUUCUGUCUGCAUGUGCAGCAGUUACACUUCUAACUCAGCUGUCAGAUCUUUCAGAUAUUAUUAACCACUGUGGAAAGCAUAAUGUUCACAGCAGUAUACAUGAACUUUUAUGGGAUCAAAUCCAUUUGCAAUUCUGGAUCCAAAACCUCUCCUGAAAUUGGACUGCUGCCUCAAUAGAGUGGGCAAGAAUGUAGGCGAUGUCUGAGAUCAUGGAAUUUAAGUUGGGUUUUCUCUGCAGUGCUUCAUGAAACCUGGGAAAUAUCCACUGAAGCUGGCAAAACCAGGUAGACUGAGGACACCUGACUUCAGAUAGCUUUGCCAGUGCUUGCCCUUUUCCAAGAAAAGUAUUAGAAACUAUGAAUUCUCUUACUGCAUCUGAUUUCAUAAGAGCAAUACAUUGUGAAAUAGGGCUGCUGUAGAUCAAACUAAUUUUUCAUGGAUCACCUGUUGUCUUUAAUUUCCAUUAUUCCUUCUCUUUCCUACAUUGCUUGUAACAUCUUGUGCUUAUGGCACUUUUUGAAGAUGAAAAAUAUUUUAUUGGAGUUUACAGACAGUAUGUACAAAAAGUGUAAAUACUAUUAAGAAAAUGUUUUAAAGGAAACAAAUUAUACUGGUAACUAAAUGAUCUAUAUAGCAGAAAUGUCCAUAUCAUUUCUGUUUAUUUUUAGCGCAUUCAUUUUUUCUUGAGUUUCUUGCUCUGAUGUCUAUUUCCAUAUAAUUUGGGGAUCUUUAGAAUUUGGAAUUUAGGAUGUACAACUGAGUAAUAUUAGUACUAAUCCCUAGCUAGGGAGCUGAAAAAGGAAAGGCUUUUCUUGUGGCAUCUCUCAUUUUCCUUACACAGGUUCCCUUUUAGCAGCUCACUUCUGGACAAGUCUCUGCUUUCUGAUGUUAUUCUUUUGUUUUCUUAUUCCAGGUUUCAGUUAUUCUGUGUAGAAAUGUGUUCACUGCCCCUCCUUUUCAUAUGAAUUAUAAUGUGGUAAAAAUGUUGCAAAAAAAGCUAUUUUCCAUAGUCUGGGGAUGUUGAUUCCAGACAAGACAGCUUGAGUGGGACAAAAUAAUGGCUUAUUGGGUCAUUUGGGAAAAAGCACAAAUAUUGAACCAUUGUUUGGGCUUUUUUUGUUUUGUUUUGUUUUACGUUUUUAUAGAACUAUAGUAAGUCUGUGAGUAGCUAUAGAAACGAUGUCAGUAUUCCUCAGUGUGGUUCAUCUUGUAAAAUUGAUCUUAUUCUUCAGCUGCAUUCAUUGAAUUUAUUUCAUAAUCAUAUAGACACAAUUUGGUUGGCUCAUAGUCUAAUAUAGAGAUAGAUACCACAGUUAACGCUAUAUAUUGAGUUAGCAUGGCCUUUAAACUGGCAUAUUUGAAACCUCCCAACUAAAAAUUUCUGCCCCAGAAAAUUCUUGUCAAUGCUAAUAAAUGCAUACCUGAAAAGCA